ensembl:ncRNA EGAP3.1 ncRNA
UUCUCAUCAGUGCAUGUUGCCUUUCAUUAAAGAGAGAAUGAAGAAUAAAAGAGGAGAGCAUCUCGUAAAACAUCGAAUGCUACCAUACGGGGACCAUCAUUAACGAGCUCUUCG